rnacentral:rRNA from 1 species
AUGGAGGCAAUCAUUUCUGCGGUUCUUGGUGAUCUUGUCAGCAGAGUUAUAUCCUUUGUGGCCGAGAAGCGCCGCGAGCAGACAACCUCUGAGGAGGAUCUGCAGAGGCUGCGCCAGCUGCUUCUGAGGAUAAGUGCUGUUGUCGAGGAGGCCGAGGGGCGGUGUGUCACUAACCGGGGGAUGAUACAUCAGGCUAGCACGAUGAGAGAGCAAAUGUUCAGAGGGUACUACCUUCUCGAUGCCUUCAGGUGCAGAGGGAAGAAGACCGGCGAUGAGGAGGUGAGUCUCUGCUCGUUCGUUCAAUCCAAAUUUAAUCCGGCUAAGCGCUUUCGCCGCCUUUCUAGCGACACUCAAAUUGGGAGCAUGGAAUUUGGUAGAGACGUCAGUAAGGAGUUGAAACAUGUUGUUCUUGUCCUGGAAAGCAUGGUUGCUGAUAUAAAGGAGUUUGUUAUAUUUCUGAUGAGCUACCCUCGCAUGUACCGCCAACCUUAUGGUGCAUAUUUAUUUUUUGACAAGUGUAUGUUCGGCCGCCAAAUGGAGAGGGAACAAGCCAUCAGCUUCUUGCUACAAGCUGAUCCUCCAGGGACUGGGAGUUUGGGUGUCCUUCCAGUCGUUGGUCCUAGAUUUAUUGGGAAGAGCACUCUUGUGGAAUAUGUUUGCAAUGAUGAGCGUGUGCGCAGUCACUUCUCCUCGAUCUUGCUCUACAGCGGAAAUGGCCUUACAGAUGAAACGGUGAUGACUUUUAGAGAUCACUGUGUGAUCAAGCAUCAAAAUAUUGCAUCAGGUAAUGGAAGGUCAUUGGUUGUUAUUGAGCUCAUAGGGGAUGUGGACGAAGGGGUGUGGAAGAGGCUACUGCACUCUGCUGAAAGAUGCAUGACAAGUGGGAGUAAAAUCAUAGUGACUAGCCGAUCAGAGAAGAUGGUCAGGUUUGGAACAACGGAAGCCAUCAAGCUAAGUUGUUUGUCUCAAGAAGCUUACUGGAAGCACGGACCCGGAGGAGCACCCAAAGUUAACUUCCAUAGCUAUGGAGGCAGCCCUCGGGAUGCGAGGAUCUUUCAUCUUCGUAUAUAUUGUCGCUGCCUUACUGAGAGAAAAUCUCAGCGUCCAGUUCUGGUGCAGGGGCAUGCUGCUCAGGGCGAAGUUCCGAGGAUAACACUCGGGGAUGUUCUAUUGAGGACAUGGAGCACCGUGCCGCUGGGAAAAUUUGAGAUCUUGGGCUGGAGGUCUCCCAUACCGCCAUACUACAACUACGUAUAUGCUUCUCAGAGGCAGGACAAGUACCCUCGACAUUGGCGAGGAUCCGCGGAUGCAGAUGGUACCCUGCAGUUGCUUGCUCCUGGCAUUUCCAAGCAUGAUGCUGGUAACAGUUUUCUUGUAGAUGACAGCAUGGCCAACGACGGUCUGGGGAGUUCAGGCUAA